rnacentral:rRNA from 1 species
ACCUGAUCAGUGGCGAACGGGUGAGUAACACGUGGGCAACCUGCCCCAGACUUUGGGAUAACUCCUCGAAAGAGGUGCUAAUACCGAAUACGAACCUUGCAGGCAUCUGCGAGGUUGGAAAGUUUUUCGGUCUGGGAUGGGCCCGCGGCCUAUCAGCUAGUUGGUGAGGUAAUGGCUCACCAAGGCGACGACGGGUAGCCGGCCUGAGAGGGCGACCGGCCACACUGGGACUGAGACACGGCCCAGACUCCUACGGGAGGCAGCAGUGGGGAAUAUUGCGCAAUGGGCGAAAGCCUGACGCAGCAACGCCGCGUGCGGGAUGAAGGCCUUCGGGUUGUAAACCGCUUUCAGCAGGGAAGAAGCGAAAGUGACGGUACCUGCAGAAGAAGCACCGGCUAACUACGUGCCAGCAGCCGCGGUAAUACGUAGGGUGCAAGCGUUGUCCGGAUUUAUUGGGCGUAAAGAGCUCGUAGGCGGUUAGUCACGUCGGAUGUGAAAACUCAGAGCUUAACUCUGA